rnacentral:rRNA from 1 species
AUUGAACGCUGGCGGCAGGCUUAACACAUGCAAGUCGAGCGGGGGAAGGUAGCUUGCUACCGGACCUAGCGGCGGACGGGUGAGUAAUGCUUAGGAAUCUGCCUAUUAGUGGGGGACAACAUCUCGAAAGGGAUGCUAAUACCGCAUGCGUCCUACGGGAGAAAGCAGGGGAUCUUCGGACCUUGCGCUAAUAGAUGAGCCUAAGUCAGAUUAGCUAGUCGGUGGGGUAAAGGCCUACCAAGGCGACGAUCUGUAGCGGGUCUGAGAGGAUGGUCCGCCACACUGGGACUGAGACACGGCCCAGACUCCUACGGGAGGCAGCAGUGGGGAAUAUUGGACAAUGGGGGGAACCCUGAUCCAGCCAUGCCGCGUGUGUGAAGAAGGCCUUAUGGUUGUAAAGCACUUUAAGCGAGGAGGAGGCUACUUUAGUUAAUACCUAGAGAUAGUGGACGUUACUCGCAGAAUAAGCACCGGCUAACUCUGUGCCAGCCGCCGCCGUAA